rfam:Deltaproteobacteria bacterium RIFOXYD12_FTLL_57_12 rifoxyd3_full_scaffold_531, whole genome shotgun sequence.
CGAAUCCCGCCCCGGAAGGGCUAGCCACCACCCACCGGGUAGCGAGUCCUUGGACUGCAGGGGGUAACUCCUGCGGUUAAGCGUAGGACAGCGAGCCGGCAGGCCGUAAGCCGCGAGACUGAAGUGAUUGGGAGCAGCCGGCAAGGCUGCAAAACUUGAGGGGUGUAAGUCCC